CCUACGGGAGGCAGCAGUAGGGAAUAUUGGGCAAUGGAGGCAACUCUGACCCAGCCAUGCCGCGUGCAGGAUGAAGGCGUUAUGCGUUGUAAACUGCUUUUAUAUAGGAAGAAAGAGUUCUUGCGAGAACAGUUGACGGUACUAUAUGAAUAAGCACCGGCUAACUCCGUGCCAGCAGCCGCGGUAAUACGGAGGGUGCAAGCGUUGUCCGGAUUUAUUGGGUUUAAAGGGUGCGUAGGCGGUUUAUUAAGUCAGUGGUGAAAGACGGUCGCUCAACGAUUGCAGUGCCAUUGAUACUGGUAGACUUGAGUGAGAUUGAGGUAGCUGGAAUGGAUAGUGUAGCGGUGAAAUGCAUAGAUAUUAUCCAGAACACCAAUUGCGUAGGCAAGUUACUAAGUCUCAACUGACGCUGAGGCACGAAAGUGUGGGUAUCAAACAGGAUUAGAUACCCUGGUAGUCCACACUGUAAACGNUGAUACUAUGUGCUUGGUNGNGUGAGAGAGAGUAGUAUC
rnacentral:rRNA from 1 species